rnacentral:rRNA from 1 species
UUGGUAUAUGAAGAUAUUUAUACCUCUUUUCACAUCCGGAAAUAUGAAAUUCAGACGGAUACGACAAGCCAGGGCUCCGCUGAAAAAUCACUGAAGAAAUACCACAUCUAG